CGCCCACCUCAGCCUCCCAAAGUGCUGGGAUUACAGGCAUGAGUCACUGAACCCGGCCAGACUUUCCUAGUCAUUCUUUGUGCCUAUGUCCUGUAAG
rnacentral:miRNA from 1 species